rnacentral:rRNA from 1 species
UACGUAGGGCGCAAGCGUUAUCCGGAAUUAUUGGGCGUAAAGAGCUCGUAGGCGGUUUGUCGCGUCUGCCGUGAAAGUCCGGGGGCUCAACUCCGGAUCUGCGGUGGGUACGGGCAGACUAGAGUGAUGUAGGGGAGACUGGAAUUCCUGGUGUAGCGGUGAAAUGCGGCAGAUAUCAGGAGGAACACCGAUGGCGAAGGCAGGUCUCUGGGCAUUAACUGACGCUGAGGAGCGAAAGCAUGGGGAGCGAACAGG